rnacentral:rRNA from 1 species
AUUGAACGCUGGCGGCAUGCUUUACACAUGCAAGUCGAACGGUAACAGGCCUUCGGGCGCUGACGAGUGGCGAACGGGUGAGUAGUGCAUCGGAACGUGCCCAGUCGUGGGGGAUAACGCAGCGAAAGCUGCGCUAAUACCGCAUACGAUCUAUGGAUGAAAGCGGGGGACCGUAAGGCCUCGCGCGAUUGGAGCGGCCGAUGUCAGAUUAGGUAGUUGGCGGGAUAAAGGCUCACCAAGCCAACGAUCUGUAGCUGGUCUGAGAGGACGACCAGCCACACUGGGACUGAGACACGGCCCAGACUCCUACGGGAGGCAGCAGUGGGGAAUUUUGGACAAUGGGCGCAAGCCUGAUCCAGCAAUGCCGCGUGCAGGAAGAAGGCCUUCGGGUUGUAAACUGCUUUUGUACGGAACGAAACGGCUCUCUCUAAUACAGGGGGUUAAUGACGGUACCGUAAGAAUAAGCACCGGCUAACUACGUGCCAGCCGCCGCGGUAAGAC